GUCAUGUCAUUUUGGUUCUUGGCAUGUGAAUGAAUUGUCGAGUUUUAUUUUUGUAAUUACUAGUUUGUAAGCCAGUUAUGAUGCUCCAAAUUUCUAGUUCACCCAAACGAUUUUUAUCAAUCUGGCGCAGUCCUGCUCAGAAGACACACAAACACGUUAUAAAACUGGCCACCGUUCGCCUUACUCCAAACUUAAAGCUCCUCUCCUUUAGGGUAUCUCGAAAUUUCCUUUACUUCAGCUUUGCUAAGCCCGAUACAGAUCUUCAUGAAUACAUUGAAUUGUGUGAGGACGAUCUAAUCCAGGAUUAGGGAAGAGAGCGAGCGUUGGAACUAGUAAGAUUAUCUGUUUAUCACUUUUAGUUCAAGGUGUCGAGAUAUUGCACCAAUUUUGGGGUAUAAAGUAUUUUACUAUUCUGAAAUUAUAUAAUAUUGAGUCCAUCCAUUAAACAACGCAACGAGACUUUCGUAAUCUAAACCCAAAAACCACGAUGUUUGUGAGAAAACGAAAAACAAAUAUUAUCAAAAAAACAGAUGCGAUUCUGCCGCAGUUAAUCGCAUUCCUGUAAUUCAAGCCCAUGCGAUACCUUUUUGGUCGUAGAGCCAGAGAAGUGAGUAAGAGAGAGCUCAUUUAAUGUAUAUGAUUGUCAGCAACAAUCCUUUGGCUAUAUUGUGAUAUGCAAAUUUAUUUUUACAAUAAUCACUUGAAACAAAAUAUAAAAGAUUCAUGGAUUGAUAAUUAAACUGGACGAAUUUUCGACACUUUGGUGUACGUCUUCUGUGUUUAUGUAAUAAGUAUAUUGUUGUAAAUCCAGAAAA